GAACGAAAGUUUGACUAAGCCAUGUUAAUAUCAAGAGUUGGUAAAUUUCGUGCCAGCCACCGCGGUCAUACGAUUAACCCGAAUUAAUAGGCCCACGGCGUAAAACGUGUUAAGGAUUAUAAAACACUAAAGUUAAAAUUUAACCAGGCCGUAAAAAGCUACUGUUAAUACAAAAUAUACCACGAAAGUGACUUUAUUAUUUCCAACAACACGAUAGCUGGGACCCAAACUGGGAUUAGAUACCCCACUAUGCCCAGCCCUAAACACAAAUAAUUUACACAACAAAAUUAUCUGCCAGAGAACUACUAGCAACAGCUUAAAACUCAAAGGACU
rnacentral:rRNA from 1 species